rnacentral:rRNA from 1 species
CGGCAAGGGGGUCAUCCCGACUUACCAACCCGAUGCAAACUGCGAAUACCGGAGAAUGUUAUCACGGGAGACACACGGCGGGUGCUAACGUCCGUCGUGAAGAGGGAAACAACCCAGACCGCCAGCUAAGGUCCCAAAGUCAUGGUUAAGUGGGAAACGAUGUGGGAAGGCCCAGACAGCCAGGAUGUUGGCUUAGAAGCAGCCAUCAUUUAAAGAAAGCGUAAUAGCUCACUGGUCGAGUCGGCCUGCGCGGAAGAUGUAACGGGGCUAAACCAUG